rnacentral:SRP_RNA from 2 species
GCCAGGUGUAGUGGCGUGUGCCUGUAAUCCCAGCUACUUGGGAGGCUGAGGCAGUAGAAUUGCUUGAACCCAGGAAGCAGAGGUUGCAGUGAGCUGAGAUCACGCCACUGCACUCCAGCCUGGGCAACAAGGCAAGACUCUGUCUCAG